rnacentral:rRNA from 1 species
AGGGAAAGAGGGAGGGAGGAAGAAAAAAGGAAAGUAGAAUGGAAGCACAGUAAGAGCUUGCUCUUACGGGUGGCGAGUGGCGGACGGGUGAGGAAUACAUCGGAAUCUACUUUUUCGUGGGGGAUAACGUAGGGAAACUUACGCUAAUACCGCAUACGACCUACGGGUGAAAGCAGGGGAUCUUCGGACCUUGCGCGAUUGAAUGAGCCGAUGUCGGAUUAGCUAGUUGGCGGGGUAAAGGCCCACCAAGGCGACGAUCCGUAGCUGGUCUGAGAGGAUGAUCAGCCACACUGGAACUGAGACACGGUCCAGACUCCUACGGGAGGCAGCAGUGGGGAAUAUUGGACAAUGGGCGCAAGCCUGAUCCAGCCAUACCGCGUGGGUGAAGAAGGCCUUCGGGUUGUAAAGCCCUUUUGUUGGGAAAGAAAAGCAGCAGGUUAAUACCCCGCUGUUCUGACGGUACCCAAAGAAUAAGCACCGGCUAACUUCGUA